rnacentral:miRNA from 1 species
GUGCCAGGCUAUGCGUUAGCG